AUGCAUUGGAAACUGAGAUACAUGCAAUUAUGCAAGGGAUGCCGUUGGCUAUACAACAUUCCACUUAUUGUCCAAUUUGUUUUAAGUGAGGCCUCAUCUGAUCGUUCUACCUAUGGUCAUCUCAUGGUUGAAAUCAAGGACUUGAUGAGAGAGAGAGAGUUUAUUCCUCAGAAGUUGAUUAGGAUCAAAAUAGAGUUGUCGGCCGUUUGGCAAACUAUAGUCGUACAGGGUGUACACAUAGGACCACCAUGUGUCAAGGAUUUUUUGCCUCUCUGCUGUAAUUCUCUCACUAUAAAAUAA
rnacentral:rRNA from 1 species